rnacentral:rRNA from 1 species
UGCUCUGGAGCAGUGGCAGUGCUCGCUGCUUGGUUGGUCAAGAGGGGAAGAGACGGCUACUUUUUGGGAUCGGCGGCGACUCCGGCACUGCCGGCGGCGGGGCACCUCGCUGGACUGGCCGCUGCUGGUGAGGGGGCUAAGCGCCGAGACUGGCCACUUCUGGCGGCAGAGUGCGGCGGUUGGUGGCGCGUAGCGCGGCGAUUGGACUGAGGGGGACGCAGCGAGGUGACGGGUGCUGCGACGGUAGGCGGCCGGGACUACCGGACACGGCGGAUGUCAUAGUCCCCGGUAGAGUUCGAACGGCGCCCCGUACCGGACCGGUCAUUAGUGGACGCGCCGCCGACCUUCGGAAGCCGCAGAACGGGACAAAGAGCCCGUACCUCAUCGUUACAGAGGUCAUUACGUCACGUCGUGCAGCGGGCGGUAAGAGUAAACUGACAGGCCUUAAGUCUUUCUACCGCGAGCUAGGGCUUUCGAAGCGGCCUCCUGCCCUAGCGGCAACGACUUCCCCACUACUGACAUGAGCAGUAACCGCCACCUCCUUCCCUCGUACGCGAAACAAUACGAAACUGGGCAAGCGGAAGAACGGUCUGUCAAAAUACACGGGGACCAUUACGACCGUAACGAGUUAGGUCUCUGCGCCAAACAUAUAGCCUGAACCUGUAAAGAUCGUCACUACGACAAUAUAGCAAGACGGCGUUCUCCCCUCACCCUUACCACCAUCACCCAGGACUUCCAGGAGAACAACGCCCAGAACGCUUACUGGAACAGUUUCGACCCUAUGGCUGGAAACCAGGCAGCAGGCUCCGACGUCGUAAUCUUCCUAGUUUCCUGAAAUACUUCUCCAACACACUAUUCAUAUUAUAGGGGUGACGAGUCAUAGCGUGUAAGUGCCUAGGACGUUUUCGAUUUCUCAUGUAGUUCCUAGUUCCCCGGGGAUAACAACAGUUUCGACUACCUAACCGUCGACCUUUUCCGCAGCAACAACGAUACCGAAACCUACUCCGGAAGCUUCGUUAUCUGAGAUACUACCAACUGCUCAGUAAACCAAGACGACCAAGCGCCCAGCAGUAACUCCUCAUAGACCUCCCGCUUCUUCGGAGAAAGAAACGUAAUCAUCUACCACUUUUACGAAACGGUGAACUUAGUCGUGUCCUAGUGUUUUCUCAACCACUACCACUAUGACCGGGUUUGUGCCCACCAUACCCACGUAUGAGGGGACGCGGUUAUCACUGGCUUCUCGAAUUCUCGCACUAGUACCUUUGAUAUUAAUGAGGUUGACAAUUUCCAUACCGACGACUUCCUACGUUCAAACAACCACAUAAUAUACGGCCCGAAUACUAACUCUUCUUUAGACCAGACGGAUUUGAAUAACUUAUAUUACACGCUAAACCCCUAGGACUUACGGUCCAAGACUACUACUCUAACCUCAGACUAGAACGUGUCCAGGACGAUAGACGUACGUCUCCUCUUGACCCAUUCCAAAGCGAUUGGACCAGUGGACUUUAGCGCUACCACCAACACUACCGCUCGCUUCCUAUGGGAUCGAGAAUAUUCUUCCCGUGGCAUUAUUUUUUGUAGCUGUUCCGGCUCGUCCAAAGAGGACGACAGUUCUAUAAGGUACGACCCUGUCGAAACCGACCUCUGCCGUUGGAACAUCGACAGCCUCCGGCCCAAGAACCGCAGUGACGCUUCCCGUUCCUGUAGCUCCUUCGCUCCAGCUCUCACAUGCUACGCCAUCUACAGCAGCUGACCGGCCUUCCUAAGAAGUCCGCUCUAUAGCCGACCUCCCGUGACUUCGUCCUCGUCUGCCGAUUGAUGACUAAUCAACCCAAAAGGAUUUAGACCCCACUCGAAGGUCGCAGGUCACUUUACUUCUGUCAUCUCGGUGGUAACAAGACCAACGCCUUAACUGUCCUCGUAUCGCAGAGGACAGCUUGUACUCGUAGAAAACUGGUACCAAACCGAGGCUUGGUAAACAUCGUCAGAACACAAAAGGAGUUCCGACCGUUGCACAGUUCACGUUAAUAGAGAACUCCACGUUAUUAUGGUAGUUGACUAAUAAAAGAUCACUUGUAUUGGUGCACUCGAGAAGUAUUCGUAAACGAAUAUCCUGGAUGAGGAAGGUAAGGAUUUAUAUUUAGAAAAAUCUAUAAAGUUAUACUUGAUGUAUGCCUACAUCAUCUUUAAUACACCACUCGAGUACUGUGUAAUCUCCUCCCUGUUAUGUACUUAAGUUAUCAGACAACUCCUUGUCGGGUACGACGGUAUCGGAGGAGAAAACGAUAAGCCCCAAGUAGCGGUAGUGAUUGACUAUACUCGUCUUGUAAGAAGAGAAGGCCCCAAGUAGCGGUAGGUAACAGUAGAGAAACGAUGAGGGAGGCAAGGAUUUAUAAACAGAAAGAUCUGUAAAGUUUCCUGAUGAUGUAUGCCUACAUACAUCUGUAUAAAAUCUCACGUCUAAGUAAAUGAAACGAGGCAUACAUCAGUGAACAACUUUACGGAUCUUUCUGUUCAUAAAUCCUUGCCUCCCUCAUGAUAAACAUACAUACCUAGAGAAACGAUGAAAAAACAUAGCUAGAGAAACGAUGAAGUUCAACGACAAAC